CUUUAGGGUUCUCAAAAUACAUUCUGCCCAAGCACCUCCUAUUAUGAAUAUUCUACAGACGGAGAAACCGAGGCCAAGUGACUUCUCUGUGAAAUGUAUUCUGCAUAUACUUAAAUACAUACUGAAGAGGCAGAGUCUUUAGGGAGAUAGCAUGGUGGCAUGGAGUGGCAUGGAGAGAAGAGAUGGUUCGUUGGAUUCAAAGAACUGCAAGGAGACCAGUAUUGCUGAGACUUGGAAUAUAUUGAGUUUUCCUUUGAUCCUUGAGUUGAUAUGGAGCCCAAAUUUGAUUCUGACACCACUGAUAAAAUGGAUAAGGACCUAGACUUGGAGUCAGGAAGCCCUGAGUUCAAAUCCCCACCUUUGACAUUUCCUCCAUGGAUGACCAUGAGUAAGUCACAUCAACUCUUUGUGCCUUGAUUUCCUGAGCUACAAAAUGAAAAAAUUAGA
rnacentral:lncRNA from 1 species